rnacentral:lncRNA from 1 species
AAAAGAGAGAAACACUGAGCGUGUGUGAAUGGUUCAUCCAGGUCACCCGUGAUACAAGUCAGUAUUCAACGUCCAUCCACAUGUCUGUGAUUUCCCUGAGACUACCUUGACCUAGCUGACCUGACUCGACCAAAACAGGGAAAGGACCUUGAGCUUGCUAUGGGCUACAAUGUAAAUGUACUUGUAUUGACUUUAAGCCAUGAGGCGGCACCAGGAACCAAACAUCACAACACAAAGGCUUUCAUUACCAGAAACUGAUCAGUCAUGGCUGGGCUCAGCCACCUGACGAUGACUACUUAUGUGAUCAUGUUUAUUAAUGACC